rnacentral:rRNA from 1 species
UACGUAGGGGGCAAGCGUUAUCCGGAUUUACUGGGUGUAAAGGGAGCGUAGACGGCAGCGCAAGUCUGGAGUGAAAUGCCGGGGCCCAACCCCGUCGUGCCGUUGAAACUGACGCCCUUGAGUGAGUGAGAAGUAAGCGGAAUGCGUGGUGUAGCGGUGAAAUGCAUAGAUAUCACGCAGAACGCCGAUUGCGAAGGCAGCUUACCGGCGCUCAACUGACGCUGAGGCACGAAAGUGCGGGUAUCGAACAGG